GAUGAAGAACGCAGCGAAAUGCGAUACUUGGUGUGAAUUGCAGAAUCCCGUGAACCAUCGAGUCUUUGAACGCAAGUUGCGCCCGAAGCCACUAGGCCGAGGGCACGCCUGCCUGGGCGUCACACGCCGUUGCCCCCCAUCUACUCCUUCGGGAUUGCGGGGGGGCGGAUGAUGGCCUCCCGUGCGCCUAGCCGCGCGGUUGGCAUAAAUACCAAGUCCUCGGCGACGCACGCCACGACAAUCGGUGGUUGCGAAACCUCGGUUGCCCGUCGUGUGCGUUCGUCGCGCAUCGAGGGCUCGAAAAAAUGCUCGGCUCCGGCUGGGCUUUCAACGCGACCCCAGGUCAGGCGGGGUUACCCGCUGAAUUUAAGCAUAUCAAUAAGCGGAGGA
rnacentral:misc_RNA from 1 species